AUUUUUUUUUAUUAUUUUUAUUUUUUAUUUU
rnacentral:misc_RNA from 1 species